AACGUAGGAGACAAACGUUAUCCGGAGUUACUGGGCGUAAAGGGCGUGUAGGUGGUUGCGUAAGUCUGGCGUGAAAUAUCUCGGCUUAACCGAGGCAGGUCGUCGGAUACUGCGUAACUGGAGGACGGUAGAGGCGUGUGGAAUUCCGGGUGUAGUGGUGAAAUGCGUAGAGAUCCGGAGGAACACCGGUGGCGAAGGCGGCUUCCUGGACCGACACUGACGCUGAGGCGCGAAAGCUAGGGGAGCAAACGGG
rnacentral:rRNA from 1 species